rnacentral:rRNA from 1 species
AUGACGUCAAGUCUUCAUGGCCCUUACGACCAGGGCUACACACGUGCUACAAUGGCGCAUACCAAGAGAAGCGACCUCGCGAGAGCAAGCGGACCUCAUAAAGUGGGUCGUAGUCCGGAUUGGAGUCUGCAACUCGACUCCAUGAAGUCGGAAUCGCUAUUAAUCGUGGAUCAGAAUGCCACGGUGAAUACGUUCCCGGGCCUUGUACACACCGCCCGUCUCACCAUGGGAGUGGGUUGCAAAAGA